UACGUAGGGUGCAAGCGUUAAUCGGAAUUACUGGGCGUAAAGCGUGCGCAGGCGGUUAUGUAAGACAGGGGUGAAAUCCCCGGGCUUAACCUGGGAACUGCAUUUGUGACUGCAUAGCUAGAGUACGGUAGAGGGGGAUGGAAUUCCGCGUGUAGCAGUGAAAUGCGUAGAUAUCAGGAAGAACACCUAUGGCGAAGGCAGCUCUCUGGGACGGUACUGACGCUGAGACGCGAAAGCGUGGGGAGCGAACAGG
rnacentral:rRNA from 1 species